rnacentral:lncRNA from 1 species
GCUAAAAGAAAUUGAAAAUGGAAAUAGAGUAUGUCUCAAAGAGACAACAACCCGACCAAAAGGGCAGAAAUCAGCCUAAAUAAAGGCAACAGUAUUAUACCGCUGUUUGAAAGUCAUAAAUCUAUAGAGAAAAAACAAAUCCGAGUUACAAACUAAAACUGAGGGAAACGCAUCAAAUAUAAGAGAACCACGACACAACAGA